GACAGAGGCCUCAAGCGUUAGGCGGAAUCACUGGGCUUAAAGCGCACGUAGGCGGAUUGUUAAGUCAGGGGUGAAAUCCUGGAGCUCAACUCCAGAACUGCCUUUGAUACUGGCGAUCUCGAGUCCGGGAGAGGUGAGUGGAACUGCGAGUGUAGAGGUGAAAUUCGUAGAUAUUCGCAAGAACACCAGUGGCGAAGGCGGCUCACUGGCCCGGUACUGACGCUGAGGUGCGAAAGCGUGGGGAGCAAACAGG
rnacentral:rRNA from 1 species